rnacentral:rRNA from 1 species
AACGAACGCUGGCGGCAUGCCUAACACAUGCAAGUCGAACGAGAUCUUCGGAUCUAGUGGCGCACGGGUGCGUAACGCGUGGGAAUCUGCCCCUUGCUUCGGAAUAACAGUGAGAAAUUACUGCUAAUACCGGAUGAUGUCUCCGGACCAAAGAUUUAUCGGCAAGGGAUGAGCCCGCGUAGGAUUAGGUAGUUGGUGGGGUAAUGGCCUACCAAGCCGACGAUCCUUAGCUGGUCUGAGAGGAUGAUCAGCCACACUGGGACUGAGACACGGCCCAGACUCCUACGGGAGGCAGCAGUGGGGAAUAUUGGACAAUGGGCGAAAGCCUGAUCCAGCAAUGCCGCGUGAGUGAUGAAGGCCUUAGGGUUGUAAAGCUCUUUUACCAGGGAUGAUAAUGACAGUACCUGGAGAAUAAGCUCCGGCUAACUCCGU